AAGAACUUUUGCAUAGUAACCGUCACUUGUUUUAAUGUAUGGAAUCAUUGAAAUAAUGUUAAUAAUUUCAUCACUUAAUCUUACUUAUGAAGGACAUGAGAACACACAUGACUGUUAAAAAUCAUAACCAUUUUUUCCCCCCUCUCCAUAUAGCUUAUUUGAGGUGGUGUUUCUGGCAAAAGGUCCACUCGGUCACCAAGACUGUGUUGGCCACCAGGGUACAAGAACCAUACUACCCAGUCAGACCAGCUAUCAGUCCCUCUCCUCCCUCACUGCUGCUUGACAAGAAGCUUUCUCAGUAGACUGGACCACAAUCCUUUCUAGACGUGUGUACUAGAAGAGGGAUGCAGUGGACUUGACUAUGGAACAGAAGUGGCCAAUCAGAGUCUUUGUCACUGAUUGUGACAUUAGAAAAAUCAGCCUUGAUCAGAAACCAGGCAACCUUGAGUCCCUUUUGGAAAACUUAAAAGUUAAACUGGCUCUACCAUAUGAUUUCAAACUACAGUUUGAAGACCCACUUUUUAACAAUGCACUCUGCAAUCUGACAGAUGUCUCAGAACUGCCAG